rnacentral:lncRNA from 1 species
GUCUCAUUUUGUCGCCCGCCCCUCCCCCAACAAAGAAAACCUUCCAGUUAUGUGGUGUAGAAACUGAGAUUCUACACUGAGAAUACAAGAAUCCACCCGCAAGACAAGAGCUCUCAGGAAACACCAAAGUGUCCCUGCCAUUUCAAAGUUAGCUCUUGUACGUAAACAUUUGGUUGCAGAAAACUGACAGCCACCUCUCCUAGUUGUGAUUUAUCAUGUCUCUGCUGAGGAACGACAAUCCCAAGCCACCCACUUCAUCACUCUCUAUGGCAUUUAAAUCCUGACAACUGAAGGAGCACGAAGAAACUGUUUUGUGACAUUGGUACAUUCAAAUGUUUCCACAUGUCACAAUGUUUAUUCUCCUUUUUCUGUUGGUUUCAGAUCCUCUAUGCUGGUGGCUAUGCUAUGUCAGUUAUUUUCAUGAUGUAUGUGAUUUCAUUCAUUUGUCGCAAGGGGAGAAAAAAUAGUGGCAUUUGGUCACUUUGCUUCUAUAUUGUAAGUAUGUUUACCGUUUUUAUUUUCGUGAUGAAG